GCUCCCAUGGCGUAGUGGUCACUGCGCUCGCUUUGCACGCGGGAGACCCGGGUUCGAUUCCCGGCGGGGUCA
rfam:Asian citrus Psyllid, Diaphorina citri - Florida Strain, whole genome shotgun sequence.